CUUUAAUAUCCCUGCAGGACGGAUAAGACUUGAAUUUUUAGAGGUGCUGUUGAAAUGGGGCAGAGCGGGCUGAAGAGGAUCUAUCCAUCUAUCUCGGAAGGACUAAAAUUAGAAUGUGAGACCUUGGAAGACUAGAAACUUCAGAGGUGAUGUGCCAGAAGCUAUGGACACAUGGAAUAUUCAUAAACAAUCGUAUCAACAAGUGGUAUACCCAGACUUUUGGUGUUUCACCGCUCGUGGGCAGUAGCACUGACUGGCAUUACCACGAUCAGGAGGCCUGAGACACAGAGGUCUCAGACUGUAAAAGAAUCUGGCUCAGCUGACUCACUCUGGAAUCAAGAAUCGAAAUACAGAGAUAGACCAGGAACCCAGGCAUCUAUGUAGACUGUUUAUGAUACUUUCGCUGUAUUGUUUUUGCCCUAAAUACAUCAA